CCCCCCCUUCUCGGCAUUGCCGAUUAAAUCUUCUUUUUGCUCUUUCAGCUA
rnacentral:ribozyme from 1 species